rnacentral:lncRNA from 1 species
ACUUGUGCUCUGUAAAGUGGAGAUGUAUCUUCACAGCAACAAGCUAGGUGCAUGGUCAGUGUUUAAGAAAGACAAACCCUUGCACUUUGCCUGGAGUAGGUGCCUGGUGAAGAGUAUAUGAAGCUUAAAGACACCAAUUGGAAGAGCAGAACACCAUCCGCUACCCAGAGCAGUACUGUGGCUGGAGGCUUGUCUCACCCUGAUUUGAGGAAGUGCAGUUGCUCAGCUAUACUUCCCAGUCCCCUUAGUGCUGGCUGGCAAAGGAGCGGCUUCUGCGCCUUGUACAGAUACAGCUCACCAUUAACUUAUGAAGAAACUGAUGUGCAGUUGUGAGAUCUGUACCUGCGUACAGCAGGUAUUAAUGACCACAUCCAGAUCACACUUCACAGGAUUAGAAUGGAUGCCCCUUGCUGCCACCGCCAGCAACUAUUUGUUCUGUUCUAGUAUUCCUUCUUCUCUAUAAUACUUGUCAAGCGAGAUAUUAAGUUUGCUACUCAGCCAAGAAACCACCUCCACAUAUGCUGACCAAGCAGCUGUCUAGCUUAGGGGGAUGAAGCAGUUUUUGUUUGUUUCCUUCAGUUCUGAGGUUUACUGUCCAGGGACUGGCAGCAGCCAGCAUUCGUCCCACUGGUAUAGAUCAUGCUUCAAAACAGGCUUUGGGAGGAUCCCCGGUCUCUGACUGAAAGGGUAGAGUAAGACUCUGACAAAAUAGAAGUAAAGGGAGAAGGGAAAUGAGCCAGCUUGGGGAUUCUCCUGAGCAGCUGCCUCACCACUGGAUUAUUAGCACAAAUCCCUCGAGCAUCUUCUCAGGUCAGGAGGGCUUUUUUUUGCUUCCAAAUACUGAGAAAGAGCCUAUGAAGCAAAGAAACAAAAGCCUGCUGCUCAGAUUAUUACAAGCAGUUAAAUGAAUUAUGACCACUUCUGCUGGCAAACCUCUUUCCCACAGACCAGCAUGGUGGCAGUGGUGAUGUCUGCCUCUGAAGGAAUGAUCAAUCCGCAAACAAGGGCUAAUUUUCUCUGCUGCAGGUGGAGGAUGUUAAAACUAUGCUGCUGAUAAUAGGGUUUGAGUGCAACAGGAGAGGCAAGGUGUCAAUAGCAUUACAAUAACAGUGAGGCACUGCAGCAAGUAAGGCUUUUUGUCUAACGAAGUGUAGUUCCCUACAAGAAGUUGGAGGCUCUGAAAUAAGCAUGGUAUGAGAUUGCCUCUGCUGUCAAUUUAUUAACUCUGUGUAGCUUGCUGGAGACCUUAAGUGUUCCUUGCUAAACAGAAUUUACACUUUAAUGUAUAUUACUGAAAUAUAUAACUCACUUUUAGACAGCAUUUUUCAUCUUGAAAGGACCCUAAGCUCUUUGCUGAUUGUGCAUAAUGGAAUCGCUCAGCCACCAAUGACAUAUAGUCAUCUCUGGGGCAUAAUGAAGCAAGAAAACUUGCAGAGAGAGAAAAAAAUAUCUUCUGUUGGAAGUGCAUGGGAAUUAAGGGAGCUAGAAGGUAAUUACCCAAAACAGAAGAUGUUUGCACACACAGCCGCUUUAACUGUUUGGGAAAAUUGUGCUGUUUCUGUGGCACAAAAGGAGCAGAGAGCAGCUCUUAAGCUAAUGGUGUUGGGAACUGGUAGCCCCUGGGAGAUGCUUCCUUCUACCCCUCGAUUUGGCAGACAGCAUCUUUUUAAACAGGAGAAAAACAGUGGCAAAUGCACUACUGUAGUCCUUAUCUGGUAGGAGGUUUCACCUUGGUAAUCCUCCAGACCAAAGCCUACAGCCCCUCUGGGGUUUGUCGACACGAGUGUGCAGCAGUCAGCCAAAAUGCCUGUCAUUAGGAAGGAGGAAGAGAGCAAAACCUUUCCUCAGUACAGGCAGGUAGGUUUCUGCAGCAAGGCAAUGACCCCAUCCAGAGAAUUCCCUGCUGCCUAUGGAGAUCGAUGUGACUGCAUUUGGCCUCCUCAUGCAGGCCAAAAGUCAGAGAAAAUGGCCUCUGGAGGAUCCCUGAGGCCUCAGCUCAGGACUGAGGCGCAUUAUGCAGCAGAGUGCUUUGCCAUCUGCUGUGCUAAAUUCAGCCCCUUAAAAUGAGUUUGGUAAUGCAAGAGGUGACCUUAAAUGUGCAAGGUCAAGACUGAACAGGGUUGCCAUCUAUGAGAGAGAUUCUGAACCCUGGAAAUGACACUCAAGGUGGACCUUGUUACACAUACGUGUAUCCUUGACAUAAGGUAUAGUUUACAAUGAUAAUUAGAUUGUGUUGGGCAUAAUCGAUGCUCCUCUGCAGCUCUCCUAUUCCUACAGCUCAAACAUCACCAGCUUCACUGUGUUACACAUUUCAGAAAAACUGAGAUGGCAGAGAGCUGGGACAGGGCUUUGUCCUCUUGUGUUUGAAGUACGUUGUCCUCAGGUUUGAGAGACAGACAAUGGACAAUGUCAGUCUAAUAUUAAUCUUUGGCAGUAGAAUUUGCAGAUUUUGAGGAAAAUAGAAGCAGUCUAAAAGAACAGGAUUUCUAUUAUCUUGAGUCUUCGCAGUUGUGACAGAAUCAAAUGUCAUCAAAUCUUUUGUUUUUAAUGCUAAUGUGAUAUUUUUUCCUGUCAGUUGUACUCAUUUUACAACUAAACUUUGCCCGCUUUCUUUACGUUGUUUGAUAUGUCAAAAGAAACACAUACUGCUUCUUUCUGAAGAAAUCAAAAUGUUUUAUUUUUGCUUUGACAGUUUAAAUUUCCUGACAUUUGCAUUACGAACUGUAUUAACAUUCUCCUCUGUGUUUUAAUUGAAAUGUUUAAGCAAUCUCCAAAACAAAUAAAUAAAUCAAAACAUU